GUGCUCACUUUGGAAGCACAUAUACUAAUAUUGGAACAACACAAAGAUUAGUGCGGCUCCUAUACAAGGGUGACAUGCAAAUUCUUGAAGAAGUCCAUACUACU
ensembl:snRNA U6 U6 spliceosomal RNA